CCUACGUGUGGCAGCAGUGAGGAAUAUUGGUCAAUGGGCGGGAGCCUGAACCAGCCAAGUCGCGUGAGGGACGACGGUCCUACGGGUUGUAAACCUCUUUUGUCGGGGAACAAAGCCGCCCACGGGUGGGCCGUUGAGUGUACCCGAAGAAAAAGCAUCGGCUAACUCCGUGCCAGCAGCCGCGGUAAUACGGAGGAUGCGAGCGUUAUCCGGAUUUAUUGGGUUUAAAGGGUGCGUAGGCGGACGGGCAAGUCAGCGGUCAAAGUGCGGGGCUCAACGCAGUACUGCCGUUGAAACGGGCAGCCUUGAGUGGGCGAGAAGUAGGCGGAAUGCGUGGUGUAGCGGUGAAAUGCAUAGAUAUCACGCAGAACUCCGAUUGCGAAGGCAGCAUACCGGCGCGCGACUGACGCUGAGGCACGAAAGCGUGGGUAUCGAACAGGAUUAGAUACCCUUGUAGUC
rnacentral:rRNA from 1 species